UGAAACUGUGGGUCUUGAGGGCAGGAGAGGAAAGUGGAAUUCCUGGUGUAGCGGUGAAAUGCGUAGAAAUCAGGAGGAACACCGGUGGCGAAGGCGACUGACUGGACUGUCCCUGACGCUG
rnacentral:rRNA from 1 species